UUAGCUGCUUCUACCACUCUCAACUUAGAGCACAGAUUCCUGAUACCAGAUUUCCAUGGAAACUUACAAACAAAACCACACAGGCAUCUGUUGUGCAUAAGAUGUUUCUGAGGACUCUCUCGACCGCCUUCUGAUUCUGCGUACACCUUACAACUCCUUCAGAGAAAUAUCCAGAUUACCUGAAGCUCUGGUUGGAUAGUUUUGUGUCUAGCUAUGAACAGUUUCUGGAUGUGGACUUUGAGAAGCUGCCAGCAAGGGUGGAUGACAUUCCGCCAGGAAUAUCGCUGCUUCCUGAUAACAUUCUUCGGGUCCUCAGGCUCCAGUUGCUACAGUGUGUCCAGAAGAUGUCAUAUGGCCUGGAAGAGCAGCAGCAGACUCUGUCACUUUUACUUGUGAAAUUCUUCAUCAUCCUUUGCAGAAUCACUGAAACCUCCAAACAACCAUAGAUGAUAUCCUUGUGGAAGGAGAUGAAAAAGAAGCAAUAAAAA